CUUUUUAGAUGAGCCCACACCUGUUUUGACGGAGCAUAUUAGGUUUUCUCCAAUUGAGUAAAAUAUGCUUAAGGUUGUAAUAAACUUUCAAGUUCUGAACUUCUCCGAUUCUCUUCCUCUUACUCAAAUUUCUUCUACUUGCAGGCGGCUUAUCUUAAAUAUCGAAGUAUCAUUAAUGGUCAUACUGGAGAAUUUGACCACGUUAUUCCGUGCUGAUGUCUAAUCCAGAAACUGAAUUUCUUUAUGUCUGUAUCUUUCUUGCGAUCCAUUGUGUGGUUGUGGUGCACUUCUGUUACUCAGUAGAGUUCCAACCGAAAGAUAAAUUUCUGAGCUCUCAUCAUUUACGUAUAGGUAUUUUUGGUCAAGAACUACUAAAAAGAAAACCAGAAAGAAGACCAAAUAUCGCAUACACAACGCAUUUCUUUUUCCUAAUAUGCAAAUAGUUAUGGCAUACCUGUUGUAACUACUAUGACACUUUAAGCAUCCCUUCAUAUGAUGCUUUCAUGGAUGCAAACAUAUAUUUUGAUCAAAAUGUAUGUAAAUAGGCAUCUACCAAUUAGUAUGCAAUAUUGACCACUUGCUUUCA